ACACAUUAAAAAAAUAGGUUUAAUGCAGGUGGGUCAUGGCAUGACGAAUUUCACAGGCACCGGGGACAGCAGGCGGCCAGGUGCUCAGAGGGCACCAAGGUGCCACAACUCCCUGCAGCGUUGACACCGCACGAGCGGCACCACCAGCCCCCUCCCGCCUCCCGUCCCACCUUCACCCUCAGCCAAGAGGCUUGGGUGACUCUGAGUAAUACGUUAACAAAAAACAAAGCUUCUUUGAGGAAACAGCAUGACUUAGUGCAAAAGAUUCUCUGCAGCAAGAAAUGAGGCCCACGCAGGGAAGCUCCCGCCUACCUGCCCAGGGCGUGGACGCAGCCCGGGCUCAUCAGAGGUCAUCCACAGAAGCUGCCGAUAAAUUAGAGAGCACGGUUUACGGCCAGAGAUUUUUUGCUUUCUCUACCUGAUUUAGGGUUUUUCAAAAAGUUUCUCUUCCAGUGGCACACAACUGUCCUCAUGGCUCCUGGGCCACUGGUCCGCCUGACAGGGUAGGGUCACAAGUCCCACCCAUGCCCAGAGUGUGGGGACAUGGAUUUGAGGUGACACUAGGGUUGUCAGUACCACACCCUGUGUCCUGCUCUAGGGUAGCCUCUGCCUGUUGUCCUUGCAAUCAUUAUUCAGGGCGCCCUCCCACUUGCCCCCAAAGUCACACGGCCAUGGGCAGUCCACCAUAGUGCUGCCGUGACUGCAAGGCUGAGGAGCAGAGCAAGGGGUCCUGGGUGAGACCUCGGCCCAUGGUGGCCACCCUCCCUGAACACAGGCAUCUGCGCCCCUCCAGCCCACCUGCCCCUGUGCCAUCAUUUGGGCCCCCCAGACACUGGAGGACAGCGUGAGAUAAGAUCUCAGCAUAUACCUGGGGCUCUAAGAUGCUGCUGGUGCCACACAGGCUCUGGGGCUGUGUUUGCCGCACUGAGGCCUCUGCCGCCUGCUCCGGACACUUGGGACACGCGUUUCCAUCCUGGCUCACUGAAGCCUCGAUCUCCCAGGCUUUCUUUGACGGUGUUCCCUCAAAGAAAGAGGCCCAAAGCCCUCCCCCGCAAAAAAAGCCAGAAAGGAAUGGAGGUGCCUCCGCAGAAAUCCAGAGCAUCUGCAAGACAUCCUCACAGCCCUCCCAGAACAGGCAGACAGGCCAGUGUUGCUGGAGUCAGCCCCUGGCUCCCAGGGUUCCCCCCAGGCCAGCCCCUGAGCUGGGAGCCUGCUGAGGCCCCUCCCACCUGAGCCCUUCUCCGGCCCCCCGCUAGACUGCAUCUACACAAUCCAAGGGGACCCUGAAGGCUGGCUGGGGACUCAGGACCCACACAGCCCCUCAGGAUGACACACACAGGGUGGUCCGCGGGCAGUGCCAGGCCUCAGGCGGCCCAGGGCAGAGUAAGCAGCUUUGUGGCAGUGUGGUGUGUCAGCGAGGGGAGCCUUCCGUGUCCCGUUGGCUGGGGCUGGGGCCAGGGCACGCAGAAGGGGCUGUGCAGCCAGGAGGGCCCCCCUCCGGAAUUGCUCCUGGGCACACAGCCCUCUGUGUCCAGGGGCCUCCCAGGGUGAUGUCUAAAGUCCCUGGCAGCUGUGGUCCUGGAGAGAGGCCCACAGAGAGGCGGAACGGAGGGCCCACCCCGCAGUACGACCCGAAGACAUGUGAGCAGGAGCCACCGGCAGGUGGGCGCUGCCCCUGAGAGUGCAUACGGGGAGGGUGGGUCCAGGAAGCCAGCCUAGGGGUGGUGUCCGCGCCCCCAUCACAGAAGUCUCAGCCCUUUCUUUUCUCUCCGUGGGCGCCGGGCAGCAGCGACUGCCUGGGGGAUGGGCGAAGGGAAGGCGCUGGCCGACCCCACCCAUGGAGAGAACACAGCCACAGGCCGGGACGAUACAUCAAGCUCGCACCCACGGCCCUCACAUGUCCACGAAGACCAUGAAGCACCAGCCCAGGCCCCCGACCAGCAGCAUGGUGACGUGGAUGCCAUAGACGAGCAGCUCGUUCACCAGGCGGAAGUCCACGCGCCGGCGGCCCAGCAGCAGCAGCAGCACCGACAGCUUGCGCUGGAAGCGCAGCAGGACGCGAACGCCCAGGUACUGUAGGCAGAAGAGGGCGGCCAGCGCACCCCAGAGCGCCGCAGUGAACAGGCUGCAGCUAAAGUAGAGUAGGAAGCGGAUGAAGCCGUACAGCCAGCGCGUCUUGAUGUACACGUCGAAGUUGUUGUACUUGGUGCGGGCCAGGUGGGAGGCGCGCACGGGCCCGCAGGCCGCAUGCAGGCAGGUGGUGUGCGGGCCGUGGAAGGAGCGCACCCGCCGCGGAAUGGGCAUGACCGGCAUUGGGCCCCGGCGGCGGCGGCGCUAGGUCGCAGUGGCGGCGGCGGUGUCCAGGCGGCUGUUGGCGUAGGGGUCAUGGGCGCCUAGGCCUGGGAGCCCGCAGCUGACCCUGGGGCUCCGUGCGCAGGGCGGCCGCAUGGUGCUGGGGCGCGCGGCUGGGGGCGCUGGCAAGGCGGCUGAGGGCGUGGUUCACGCGUCGCCGGC
rnacentral:lncRNA from 10 species